UACGUAGGGUGCAAGCGUUAUCCGGAUUUAUUGGGCGUAAAGGGCUCGUAGGCGGUUCGUCGCGUCCGGUGUGAAAGUCCAUCGCUUAACGGUGGAUCCGCGCCGGGUACGGGCGGGCUUGAGUGCGGUAGGGGAGACUGGAAUUCCCGGAGUAACGGUGGAAUGUGUAGAUAUCGGGAAGAACACCAAUGGCGAAGGCAGGUCUCUGGGCCGUUACUGACGCUGAGGAGCGAAAGCGUGGGGAGCGAACAGG
rnacentral:rRNA from 1 species